rnacentral:rRNA from 1 species
UGAGGAAUCUUCCACAAUGGGCGAAAGCCUGAUGGAGCAACGCCGCGUGCAGGAUGAAGGCCUUCGGGUCGUAAACUGCUUUUAUGGGUGAAUAAUAUGAAUGUAACCCUUGAAUAAGCACCGGCUAACUACGUGCCAGCAGCCGCGGUCAUACGUAGGGUGCAAGCAUUAUCCGGAGUGACUGGGCGUAAAGAGUUGCGUAGGUGGUUUGUUUAGUGAAUAGUGAAAUCUGGUGGCUCAACCAUACAGACUAUUAUUCAAACUGACAAACUCGAGAGUAGCAGAGGUAACUGGAAUUUCUAGUGUAGGAGUGAAAUCCAUAGAUAUUAGAAGGAACACCAAUGGCGUAGGCAGGUUACUGGGCUAUUUCUGACACUGAGGCACGAAAGCGUGGGGAGCGAACC